GGGGCUGUAGCUUAGUGAGAGCGCUCCCCUGGCAUGUGGGAGGCACUGGGUUAGAUCCUCAGCACCACA
rnacentral:tRNA from 1 species